AAAGUACUCCCUCCGUCCCAAAAUUCUUGUCUUAGAUUUGUCUAGAUACGGAUGUAUCAAGUCACAUUUUAGUAUUAGAUACAUCCGUAUCUAGAAAAAUCUAAGACAAGAAAUUUGGGACAGAGGGGGUAGUUG
rnacentral:pre_miRNA from 1 species